rnacentral:rRNA from 1 species
CUACGGGUCGCACCAGUCGAGAAUAGUCUACAAUGGACGAAAGUCUGAUAGUGCGACGCCGCGUGGAUGAAGAAGCAUUUCGGUGUGUAAAGUCCUUUUCUGUGUGAGCAAUGUUUUCCAGGUUAAUAGCUUGGAGAAAGCGAUAUUAACACAGGAAUAAGCUCCGGCUAACUCCGUGCCAGCAGCCGCGGUAACACGGGGGGAGCAAGCGUUGUCCGGAAUUACUAGGCGUAAAGGGUAAGUAGGCGGAAUUGUAAGUCAGAUGUUAAAGGCACCGGCUCAACCGGUGUAUGGCAUUUGAUACUGUAAUUCUAGAGUAAGGUGGGGGAAGACGGAAUUCCUGGUGUAGCGGUGGAAUGCGCAGAUAUCAGGAGGAACACCAGAGGCGCAGGCGGUCUUCUAUACCAUUACUGACGCUCAAUUACGAAGGUGUGGGUAUCAAACAGGAUUAGAUACCCUCGUAGUC